rnacentral:lncRNA from 1 species
AAGUUUAUACUCCCAACCCUAACCCUAACUUCUAAUUUUCUUUUUGCCUUUAUAAACGCCUCGUGUUGUGAAUAUGAUGUCUAUUUCCAGUUUCCCCUGAGGAGUAUGUUUGGUUGUUGUUUUCGUUGCUGGGAUUGCACCACCAAGGGCCUUGCCCAUGCUAGGCUGCAUCCCCAGACCUGUUAUUUUGGGAGAGCAUCUUUAUGGCUUGGAAUUUGUGAUUCUCUUUCCAUACCCUUAGAGUAGGUUUACGCGUGUACACUACCAUCUCUGGCUGGUUUCUGAACCCCUGAAGUAGGUAUUGGGAGCAAGGGAUUUAGCCACGACCACAGGGAGGUCCUGAGGUGACUGUGACAGCUUCAUGUGGAUGCUGAGGUCUGAGUGGUCCCUGUCCCUUUAAAGGGAGAUGGAAUGUUUGCCUUUUGUCCUGGGUCACUAGGGAUCCCACAGGGAGAGGAGCCACAGUUGGAGCCAGGCAGAGGAAGAGCCCCCAGGGACCACAGGAGAGUGAAGGACAGAGCGGUGGGAGCAGCCGUGGGCCCAAAGGAAACAGCCCUUCCGGGCUCCUCGGUGGGCAGAGCACCUUCGUCCAGAAGUCUCGUUCCUAAGAAGCCUCGUCCUUUCCCUAACACGACAGGAGCCAAGCUGGCCCUUCAGAAGUCACCCUCAGACUUCAGAGGCCCUGUCCUCGAGGGGACCUGGCUCUGGGACGCCCCAGCAGUCACCUCAGCUGCCAGGCAGGCAGGACCAAAGCCGGUUCCGCUGGCAAGCGAUUCCAAGAAGUCACCGUGCUCUGCAGCUCUGAUGGGAGCCACGAGGAGACCUGUGGUGACUUCGGCCCCUGGACGCCUCAGGGCUGUGGGUCCUGCCCCGUCACAGCCAGAGUCACAAAUUCGAGUUUGUGACAGUGGUGACUUAAUCAGGACUGAAAAUGAGGCAGGAAAACCUGGCCUCCGCCUUGAGGAGGAGGCGUCUAACUUGUCCCGAGUUACAGACAAACGCCACAGGAGUGAACACCGCAGCGUCUCACUCCAGCUCAAGGACCCUGAAAGUCAGGUGUGUGCAUCAGGCGGGAGCCCUCCUGGCGCAGAAGUGAUGAGCCGCCUGGUUUCUGCUGGCUGAGAUUCACACGAAACAGCAGACACCUCGGGCGAGACGUGUGUGUCCGUUCAGGACCCUUCCCUGUCCUGCCUCCCUGGGUUUCCUGUGUGGAUCUCAUCGGCCCCUGCUGCUCUCCACUGGAUGAGACUUUCAAAAGUAAAAAAAAAAAAAAAGCUUGCAUCACUGAAAUAAAUUCCACUUGCUCUUUAGCUAUUACCCUUUUUUUUAAAGUUCUGAUUAAAUUCAGCUUGCUAAGAUGCUAUUUUAUUUUAUAUUUUAUCUUGUGGUGCCAGAGACUGAACCAUGAGAUGCUGAG